rnacentral:rRNA from 2 species
UACGAAGGGGGCAAGCGUUGCUCGGAAUCACUGGGCGUAAAGCGCACGUAGGCGGGUUGUUAAGUCAGAGGUGAAAUCCCGGAGCUCAACUCCAGAACUGCCUUUGAUACUGGCGAACUUGAGUUCGAGAGAGGUUGGUGGAACUGCGAGUGUAGAGGUGAAAUUCGUAGAUAUUCGCAAGAACACCAGUGGCGAAGGCGGCCAACUGGCUCGAUACUGACGCUGAGGUGCGAAAGCGUGGGGAGCAAAC